UGACUGGGGCGGUCUCCUCCGAAAGAGUAGCAGAGGAGCGCGAAGGUACCCUCGGCACGUUUGGAAAUCGUGCUCUGAGUGCAAUGGCAUAAGGGUGCUUGACUGCGAGACAGACACGUCGAGCAGGUUGCGAUUCGGGGCUACAACCAGAUCCCUCGGCAAUCCCGGACAUUUCUCGCGAUUGAUGAUGCGGGAUACGAAAGGAUCCGGUCGCUACCGAU
rnacentral:rRNA from 1 species